rnacentral:misc_RNA from 1 species
AAGUCGUAACAAGGUUUCCGUAGGUGAACCUGCGGAAGGAUCAUUAUUGAAUAUUCUUGAUGGGUUGUAGCUGGCUCUUCGGGGCAUGUGCACACUUGUCUUGACUUUAUUCAUCCACCUGUGCACCUUUUGUAGUCUUGUGGGUUGAGAGCAGUCGACUAUCGGAUGGCUAUGGCCUUUCCGGACAUGAGGAAUGCUGAGUGCAAAAGCAUAUAGCUCUUCUCAAAUGACUUGCAAAACUCUCCCUCGAGUACUAUGUAUUCAUAUACCACAUAGUAUGUUGUCGAAUGUGAUCAAUGGGCCUAUGUGCCUAUAAAAUCAUAUACAACUUUCAGCAACGGAUCUCUUGGCUCUC